rnacentral:misc_RNA from 1 species
UCCUCAAAAGCAGAAGGGCAGUAGAGAAAAUCGUUCUCUUGAUAUUAAGGAGGGAACUGCCAGGAUGAUAAGCAAAUCCAUGUCAUUUAGAUCAGUGAGCUCAGUCCGUUCCAAUGCUACUGAUUCAAAAGUUAAAAUGCUUUCAUCAAAAUUUUCUCAGGCUCAGGAUAUAAAAGCAUUAAAACAAGUGAAAGAACAAGGUGCAUUUGAAAGUAAAAGUUCAUCUAAAUUGGGCCGUCCUAUGGGAGUUUCAGUGACAAAUAGUUCUAAUAUCUCUGUGCCUAAGGUCAGUCAAAAGCUCACACCUCGUGGUGAUAGCGUCAUGGUAUCAACUACAAGCAACAAUAAAGAGUCAAAUGCUUCACAAUCUGAUGGAAAAUUGGGUAGCUUAUCAAGAUCAACCAGCAGUAUAGCUCGUAAAGGUGCAGAAAUUCCUGUUACUUCUGUUCGAUCUUUACCUGCGAAUGGAAUCAGCAGUGCUUUUGUUGAGCAAAAGUUAAACCAAGUUAGCCCGAAGGAUGAACCCUCUUCUAGUUCAUCUGGGACUGCUGAGCGACCAUACCAUAAUAUGGAUGAAAAUUUGCAAGAUGGUUUAUCUCGGUCACGGGAA